UGAGGAAUAUUGGUCAAUGGGCGAGAGCCUGAACCAGCCAAGUCGCGUGAGGGAAGAAUGGUCUAUGGCCUGUAAACCUCUUUUGCCAGGGAAGAAUAAAAGGUACGUGUACCUUCUUGCCAGUACCUGACGAAUAAGCAUCGGCUAACUCCGUGCCAGCAGCCGCGGUAAUACGGGGGAUGCGAGCGUUAUCCGGAUUUAUUGGGUUUAAAGGGCGCGUAGGCGGGACGCCAAGUCAGCGGUAAAAGACUGCAGCUAAACUGUAGCACGCCGUUGAAACUGGCGACCUGGAGACGAGACGAGGGAGGCGGAACAAGUGAAGUAGCGGUGAAAUGCUUAGAUAUCACUUGGAACCCCGAUAGCGAAGGCAGCUUCCCAGGCUCGAUCUGACGCUGAUGCGCGAGAGCGUGGGUAGCGAACAGG
rnacentral:rRNA from 1 species